CAGUGGCAGACGGGUGAGUAACGCGUGGGAACAUACCUCUUGGUUCGGAACAACACAGGGAAACUUGUGCUAAUACCGGAUAAGCCCUUACGGGGAAAGAUUUAUCGCCGAGAGAUUGGCCCGCGUCUGAUUAGCUAGUUGGUGGGGUAAAGGCCUACCAAGGCGACGAUCAGUAGCUGGUCUGAGAGGAUGAUCAGCCACAUUGGGACUGAGACACGGCCCAAACUCCUACGGGAGGCAGCAGUGGGGAAUAUUGGACAAUGGGCGCAAGCCUGAUCCAGCCAUGCCGCGUGAGUGAUGAAGGCCCUAGGGUUGUAAAGCUCUUUUGUACGGGAAGAUAAUGACGGUACCGUAAGAAUAAGCCCCGGCUAACUUCGUGCCAGCAGCCGCGGUAAUACGAAGGGGGCUAGCGUUGCUCGGAAUCACUGGGCGUAAAGGGUGCGUAGGCGGGUUUUUAAGUCAGAGGUGAAAUCCUGGAGCUCAACUCCAGAACUGCCUUUGAUACUGAAAGUCUUGAGUAUGGGAGAGGUGAGUGGAACUGCGAGUGUAGAGGUGAAAUUCGUAGAUAUUCGCAAGAACACCAGUGGCGAAGGCGGCUCACUGGCCCAUAACUGACGCUGAGGCACGAAAGCGU
rnacentral:rRNA from 1 species